rnacentral:rRNA from 1 species
AGAGGGGGAUAACCAUUGGAAACGGUGGCUAAUACCCCAUGUGGUCCUGUAUUCGGUUGUGGGAUUAAAGGCUUCGGCGCUUCGGGAGGGGCCUGCGGCCUAUCAGCUAGUUGGCAGGGUAAUGGCCUACCAAGGCUAUGACGGGUAGCUGGUCUGAGAGGACGGUCAGCCACACUGGCACUGAGACACGGGCCAGACUCCUACGGGAGGCAGCAGUGAGGGAUAUUGCGCAAUGGGGGAAACCCUGACGCAGCAACGCCGCGUGGGCGAAGAAGGUCUUCGGAUCGUAAAGCCCUUUUCUCUCGGACGAGGAAGGACGGUACGGGAGGAAUAAGUGUCGGCUAACUACGUGCCAGCAGCCGCGGUAAAACGUAGGACGCAAGCGUUAUCCGGAUUUAUUGGGCGUAAAGCGCGUCUAGGCGGCGUCUUAAGUUGGGCGUGAAAUCUUCCGGCUCAACCGGAAGGGGCCGUCCAAUACUGGGGCGCUUGAGGGCAGCAGGGGGAGGUGGAAUUCCCGGUGUAGCGGUGGAAUGCGUAGAUAUCGGGAGGAACACCAGUGGCGAAGGCGGCCUCCUGGGCUGUACCUGACGCUGAAGCGCGAAAGCGUGGGGAGCGAACGGGAUUAGAUACCCCGGUAGUCCACGCCGUAAACUAUGGAUACUAGGUGUUGGUGGUACUGACCCCAUCAGUGCCGCAGCUAACGCGUUAAGUAUCCCGCCUGGGGACUACGGCCGCAAGGCUAAAACUCAAAGGAAUUGACGGGGGCCCGCACAAGCAGCGGAGCGUGU